CCUACGGCGGCUGCAGUGGGGAAUAUUGGACAAUGGGCGAAAGCCUGAUCCAGCCAUGCCGCGUGUGUGAAGAAGGCCUUCGGGUUGUAAAGCACUUUCAGUGGGGAAGAAAGCCUUGGGGCUAAUACCCUCGAGGAAGGACAUCACCCACAGAAGAAGCACCGGCUAACUCCGUGCCAGCAGCCGCGGUAAUACGGAGGGUGCGAGCGUUAAUCGGAAUUACUGGGCGUAAAGCGCGCGUAGGCGGUCUGAUAAGCCGGUUGUGAAAGCCCCGGGCUCAACCUGGGAACGGCAUCCGGAACUGUCAGGCUAGAGUGCAGGAGAGGAAGGUAGAAUUCCCGGUGUAGCGGUGAAAUGCGUAGAGAUCGGUAGGAAUACCAGUGGCGAAGGCGGCCUUCUGGACUGACACUGACGCUGAGGUGCGAAAGCGUGGGUAGCAAACAGGAUUAGAUACCCGAGUAGUC
rnacentral:rRNA from 1 species